AGAAGCCGGGGGGGCCUCUGCUGCCCUGGCAGUCCCAGCUGUCCCUGAUGGCCUGCAGCUCUGGGCACUGUGGCUGGGACAAGUCCCAGUGUUGGUCCAGGACAAUGGAGCUGCUGCCACACACUGCCUGCUGGGACUAGAAUGUUGGCUGCACUGCAGAGGAGGUACCGCGGACGUCACCGCAGAGAAGUUGCGGGAGCUCGGAAUCGGCGUGGCACGGGCGAGCGGCGCACGCACGGCGCUCGGGCGGAGGAAGCUCUCGCGGACGAGGCCGGAGCCGGCCGGCACGGGGGCGACCGCUCGCGUUCCGAUUUGGCGGGCGAUGAAGGUGAAUGUGGCGACCGAAGGAAGAUCGGAGAGCGUGCGGCUGCCAUUGCGGAUGUUUCUUCAGUACAGAUAGUGACCCCGAGAACUCCAAAA